rnacentral:lncRNA from 1 species
CAGGGUUCAGAGUGUAAUGUAUAGAAAAAGAGUGUUUCGAAGCCAUUGACAGUUUUUUUUUUAUUUUAAUUUGUGCUUCUUUCUCCUACCACAUGACUGUAAGUCAAAGAUGUGGAAACCUGAAAUUAUAAUGCUGCUCCUAGCUACUGGCCUCCUGCCCCACUGAUGGUUCAUUGGCCCAGCUUAAUGCCUGGUGGUUGAUGAGUAUUAUGUCCAGAAAAAGAGAUGUUUGGAUUCCAUGACAAAGCUGCGUUUUAUAAAUAUAUCGGAGACCCCCCAAAAUGAACUUCAUGCUGACCAUUUCCUUCUCCUCUCUGUGCUCUUCCUUACAAAGCCCUUCAAGUAUCCCUUGUCCACCCCUCCUGCACCUCUUGUGCCCUUUUUACAUCUUUGAUUGCCUGACGAUAACAGGGUAAAAAAGACAGCCAACCUCACGCAUGAUUAGUAGAACUGAUUCCUAUGUUAAAAAAAAAAUCUUUGAAUCUAGAAGCCAGAGAAGAUUUUUUUUUAAGGACUUCAGUUUGGGAUAAGCUU